rnacentral:rRNA from 1 species
GGCGAGUGAAGCGGCAAAAGCUCAAAUUUGAAAUCCUGCGGGAGUUGUAAUUUGAAGGUUUCGGGUUCUGAGGCUGUGCGCGCCCAAGUCCAUUGGAACAUGGCGCCUGGGAGGGUGAGAGCCCCGUCCGGCGCGGCGCAGUCUUGUUGCGACCCGAUUCCGACGAGUCGAGUUGUUUGGGAAUGCAGCUCAAAGUGGGUGGUAAAUUCCAUCUAAAGCUAAAUAUUGGCGAGAGACCGAUAGCGAACAAGUACAGUGAUGGAAAGAUGAAAAGCACUUUGAAAAGAGAGUGAAACAGUACGUGAAAUUGUUGAAAGGGAAGGGCUUGCAAGCAGACACGGCCUCGGCCGGGCCAGCAUCGGUUUGCUGGGGUGGACAAUGCGGCGGGAAUGUGGCGCGUCUCCUUGUGGGGCGCGUGUUUAUAGCCCG